AUAAGACCAACACACUAUCCAAGAAUUCAAGAUAAGAUCAAAGACAAAGCUUGGAUUUUUGUGAGAAAUCAAGGAGUCAUCCAUUGAAGAUCCAAGGGUGGACAUUGAGUGGCCAAGGCUAUAAAUAGAAGGCUAAUCCCCUCAUUUUCACUCACCACACUACAAGCAAACUCAAGAGCUUUCACUCCACACUUGCCCACACGUUUUUGCCUUCAAGCUUCCAAACUUUCAAGUGCUCAAGUGUCCUAGCUUUCCAAAGCUUCAAAAGCUCUCCAACUUCUUCUUCUAAUCUUCUUGUUCAUCUUUACAAGUAAGAAGUGUUGUUUGCUUUAAUAUUCCACUCCUCUAAUCACCUCUUGUGUGUGUCCACUUUGGUUGAGAGGGUUGUCUCAAUAGUACCAAAGUGUGAGAGAAGGUUUUUGAGCUCAACCAUAAAGCUCUAGUUUGGUUUUAUAGAGUUUCCGGGAAAACUCUUAGGUCAAAUCUAUCUUGAAAGAUUUUUAGGUUUUUAAGAGUUCCUUGAUACUCUAAGGUACUAACUUACCCGUAAAAGUUAGAGGUUCUUAAGAGUGCCCUUGAUACUCUAAGGUGUGAGUCUACCCGUAAAAGACUGGUUCAUAAGCGAAGUAGCCUUAAAGCUUAGAGAGGUUUUUAAAAGUUCCUUGAUACUCUAAGGUACUAACUUACCCGCAAAAGUUAGAAGUUCUUAAGAGUGCCCUUGAUACUCUAAGGUGUGAGUCUACCCGUAAAAGACUGAUUCCUAAGCGAAGUAGCCUUAAAGCUUAGAGAGGUUCUUAAGAGUUUCCUUGAUACUCUAAGGUUUUGCCAUAACCUUUAGGCGAGUGAAUUCCGACAGUUGGUCGGAACUGGACUAGCCCUUGUUUGGGUGAACCAGUAUAAAUCUCUUGUGUUAUUCUUUGUUAACUCUAGUUUUUAUCUUUCAUCUAAAAACAACUAAACAACACUUAAUUGAAAAUGAUCCCUCUUCCAGUUAUCUGGUCAAAUACAGAGGUUGACUACUUUACGCAGAUCCCUCAUCCAGUUAUCUGGUCAACUAUCUGAGGUUAUAUUCAUUGCUUUAAAUCUUUAUUCAUAUAUUUGUUCAAGCAUUUACUUAUCAUAUAUAUAUCCAGUUAUCUGGUCAUUUACUUGUUUAUCAAUAUAUUCAGUUAUCUGGUCAUUUACUUGCUUAUCAAUAUAUCCAGUUAUCUGGUCAUUUACUCUAUAAUAUAACUUGUGUUUAUAAUAUAACUUAGUAUUCAUAUACUAUAGUUGUUUAUAAAACACCAUCUGAAAAGUUGACUACGUAUUCAUAUAUUGUAGUAAACUUCUAGAGCAAAAGGCAAGUCCAAUAUAUAUAAUAAUUAUAUAAUAGUAUUGUAUUGCUAACAAUAUUAUACUAUUAUUAUUAUACAACCAUUUGUGUACUUAAGUGUGUGCAGGUAAUUCCGCUAUUAACUUGCAUAAAUCGAAAAGAGACUAUUAUCCCCCCUUAUAGCCUCGGAUCUCGAUCCAACACUUACUCCAUAAGGCCUUAUAUGGUCUUAAACAAGCUCCUAGAGUUUGGUAUUCUAGUUUACAUUUGUUUUUAGUGAACAAUGGCUUUACUAAUAGCAAAACAGAUUCCUCCC
rnacentral:lncRNA from 1 species